CCUACGGGAGGCAGCAGUGAGGAAUAUUGGUCAAUGGACGAGAGUCUGAACCAGCCAAGUAGCGUGAAGGAUGACUGCCCUAUGGGUUGUAAACUUCUUUUAUAUGGGAAUAAAACAGGGUAUGCAUACCCUCUUGUAUGUACCAUAUGAAUAAGGAUCGGCUAACUCCGUGCCAGCAGCCGCGGUAAUACGGAGGAUCCGAGCGUUAUCCGGAUUUAUUGGGUUUAAAGGGAGCGUAGGUGGAUUGUUAAGUCAGUUGUGAAAGUUUGCGGCGCAACCGUAAAAUUGCAGUUGAAACUGGCAGUCUUGAGUACAGUAGAGGUGAGCGGAAUUCGUGGUGUAGCGGUGAAAUGCUUAGAUAUCACGAAGAACUCCGAUUGCGAAGGCAGCUCACUGGACUGCAACUGACACUGAUGCUCGAAAGUGUGGGUAGCAAACAGGAUUAGAUACCCCAGUAGUC
rnacentral:rRNA from 1 species